AAAUUGAAGAGUUUGAUCAUGGCUCAGAUUGAACGCUGGCGGCAGGCCUAACACAUGCAAGUCGAGCGGUAGCACAGAGAGCUUGCUCUCGGGUGACGAGCGGCGGACGGGUGAGUAAUGUCUGGGAAACUGCCUGAUGGAGGGGGAUAACUACUGGAAACGGUAGCUAAUACCGCAUAAUGUCGCAAGACCAAAGUGGGGGACCUUCGGGCCUCAUGCCAUCAGAUGUGCCCAGAUGGGAUUAGCUAGUAGGUGGGGUAACGGCUCACCUAGGCGACGAUCCCUAGCUGGUCUGAGAGGAUGACCAGCCACACUGGAACUGAGACACGGUCCAGACUCCUACGGGAGGCAGCAGUGGGGAAUAUUGCACAAUGGGCGCAAGCCUGAUGCAGCCAUGCCGCGUGUGUGAAGAAGGCCUUCGGGUUGUAAAGCACUUUCAGCGGGGAGGAAGGCGUUAAGGUUAAUAACCUUGUCGAUUGACGUUACCCGCAGAAGAAGCACCGGCUAACUCCGUGCCAGCAGCCGCGGUAAUACGGAGGGUGCAAGCGUUAAUCGGAAUUACUGGGCGUAAAGCGCACGCAGGCGGUCUGUCAAGUCGGAUGUGAAAUCCCCGGGCUCAACCUGGGAACUGCAUUCGAAACUGGCAGGCUAGAGUCUUGUAGAGGGGGGUAGAAUUCCAGGUGUAGCGGUGAAAUGCGUAGAGAUCUGGAGGAAUACCGGUGGCGAAGGCGGCCCCCUGGACAAAGACUGACGCUCAGGUGCGAAAGCGUGGGGAGCAAACAGGAUUAGAUACCCUGGUAGUCCACGCCGUAAACGAUGUCGAUUUGGAGGUUGUGCCCUUGAGGCGUGGCUUCCGGAGCUAACGCGUUAAAUCGACCGCCUGGGGAGUACGGCCGCAAGGUUAAAACUCAAAUGAAUUGACGGGGGCCCGCACAAGCGGUGGAGCAUGUGGUUUAAUUCGAUGCAACGCGAAGAACCUUACCUGGUCUUGACAUCCACAGAACUUAGCAGAGAUGCUUUGGUGCCUUCGGGAACUGUGAGACAGGUGCUGCAUGGCUGUCGUCAGCUCGUGUUGUGAAAUGUUGGGUUAAGUCCCGCAACGAGCGCAACCCUUAUCCUUUGUUGCCAGCGGUUAGGCCGGGAACUCAAAGGAGACUGCCAGUGAUAAACUGGAGGAAGGUGGGGAUGACGUCAAGUCAUCAUGGCCCUUACGACCAGGGCUACACACGUGCUACAAUGGCAUAUACAAAGAGAAGCGACCUCGCGAGAGCAAGCGGACCUCAUAAAGUAUGUCGUAGUCCGGAUUGGAGUCUGCAACUCGACUCCAUGAAGUCGGAAUCGCUAGUAAUCGUAGAUCAGAAUGCUACGGUGAAUACGUUCCCGGGCCUUGUACACACCGCCCGUCACACCAUGGGAGUGGGUUGCAAAAGAAGUAGGUAGCUUAACCUUCGGGAGGGCGCUUACCACUUUGUGAUUCAUGACUGGGGUGAAGUCGUAACAAGGUAACCGUAGGGGAACCUGCGGUUGGAUCACCUCCUUA
rnacentral:rRNA from 1 species